rnacentral:sRNA from 1 species
CCCACGGCUCACGCCGUGGGCUAUUCGCUUCCGCCCGCUUCGCGGGCU